rnacentral:rRNA from 1 species
GACGAAGGAUGCAAGCGUUAUCCGGAUUCAUUGGGUUUAAAGGGAGCGUAGGCGGCCUUAUAAGUCAGUGGUGAAAUCUUUGGGCUUAACCCAAAAAUUGCCAUUGAUACUGUAGGGCUUGAGUACAGUUGCUGUGGGCGGAAUAUGACAUGUAGUGGUGAAAUACAUAGAGAUGUCAUAGAACACCGAUUGCGAAGGCAGCUCACAAAACUGUAACUGACGCUGAGGCUCGAAAGUGCGGGGGAUCAAACAGG